rnacentral:rRNA from 1 species
CCCUUAGAUGUUCUGGGCUGCACGCGCGCUACACUGAAGCUAUCAACACGUUUUCCCUCCCUGAGAAGGGCGGGUAACCUUUUGAAUCAGCUUCGUGGUAGGGAUCGGGGCUUGCAAUUGUUCCCCGUGAACCAGGAAUUCCUAGUAGACGCGAGUCAUAAGCUCGCAUGGAUUAAGUCCCUGCCCUUUGUACACACCGCCCGUCGCUACUACCGAUUGAACGUUUUAGUGAGGCAUUUGGACCGACGCAUCUCAGUUUAACCGCUGGUUUGUGUUGGAAAGACUUCCAAACUUGAGCGUUUAGAGGAAGUAAAAGUCGUAACA